UACGUAGGGUGCGAGCGUUGUCCGGAAUUAUUGGGCGUAAAGAGCUCGUAGGCGGUGUGUCGCGUCGGCCGUGAAAACCUGGGGCUCAACUCUGGGCGUGCGGUCGAUACGGGCAUCACUUGAGUUCGGCAGGGGGAGACUGGAAUUCCUGGUGUAGCGGUGAAAUGCGCAGAUAUCAGGAGGAACACCGGUGGCGAAGGCGGCUCACUGGACCGGUACUGACGCUGAUGCGGCGAAAGCGUGGGGAGCAAACGGG
rnacentral:rRNA from 1 species